CUACGGGCCGCAGCAGUGAGGAAUAUUGCACAAUGGGGGGGACCCUGAUGCAGCAACGCCGCGUGGAGGAUGACGCAUUUCGGUGUGUAAACUCCUUUUAUAUGUCAAGAAAAUGACGGUAGCAUAUGAAUAAGCACCGGCUAACUCCGUGCCAGCAGCCGCGGUAAUACGGAGGGUGCAAGCGUGACUCGGAAUCACUGGGCGUAAAGGACGCGUAGGCGGGUUGGAAAGUCAGGUGUGAAAUCCUACAGCUUAACUGUAGAACUGCACUUGAAACUUCUAAUCUAGAGUAUGGGAGGGGGAGAUGGAAUUAGUGGUGUAGGGGUAAAAUCCGUAGAUAUCACUAGGAAUACCUAAAGCGAAGGCGAUCUCCUGGAACAUUACUGACGCUAAGGCGUGAAAGCGUGGGGAGCAAACAGGAUUAGAUACCCGAGUAGUC
rnacentral:rRNA from 1 species